rnacentral:rRNA from 1 species
UACAGAGGGUGCGAGCGUUAAUCGGAAUUACUGGGCGUAAAGCGUGCGUAGACGGCUAUCUAAGUCGGGUGUGAAAGCCCCGGGCUCAACCUGGGAAUUGCAUUCGAGACUGAAUAGCUAGGGUACGGUAGAGGGAAGCGGAAUUUCCGGUGUAGCGGUGAAAUGCGUAGAUAUCGGAAGGAAGGCCGGUGGCGAAAGCGAGCCUCUGGACAGUUACUGACGCUGAUGCACGAAGGCCAGGGGAGCAAACGGG